CACAAUGAUGGCGAUGGAGUUCGCCUUUGCGCGCUUCCCCGACGAAGCUAAUGACUCCUACUCUUGA
rnacentral:ncRNA from 2 species